GUGCAACAUUUCGGCUUUAAGGGCGGUCGGCUAAUCUCCCGGAAGGGAGGUGAUGCCCAUGGAGGUAAAAGAUGCACUCUCCUUAAUGUUCAUGUUUGGCAUGUUCAUUUUGGCGCUGCUCACCUACAUGAAAAAGAAAUAGACCGCCCUUGGUGAGGACAACGGUCUAUUUCACGACUUAACUCCGAAGCCGACCGCUCUUUUAGCGGCUGUUGUACCAAGGGAUCGUGUUCCAGCACGGUCC
rnacentral:sRNA from 1 species